GACAUAUCUGUCACUAAUGGGGGAUUUGGGUAUAAAUGAGAGGAGGGGCGGAUGGAGAACUAGGAUGGGCUAAAUUGGACGAAAGAUUCGAAAAGGCGAAGAAGAAGCUUUAAAAUCGCAUUUCUACACGGAGACGUAAUGAAGAAAACUGGAAAAUGAAACAUCUUAGUACCAGGGUGAUACAGAGAAAUCAAACGAGAGCCCGCAAGUAGCGGUGAGCGAAAGUGGAAUAGUUCAAUGGUCGAGUAAAUAGUGGAAGAGAGGUGCUCACAUAUCUAAGACUAAAUGUUAGUUCCAUACCGAAAGAGAGAGUACUGUAAAGGAAAGUUGAAAGAGACUUGAAAAGAGCUUGAAAUCAGUCCCUUAAAGCAGCUGUAAUACAGCGUACCUUUUGUAUAAUGGGUUUAUAAGAUAUUGUUUGGCAAAUUUAAAUUAUGUAUUGGAUAGGAGGAGAAGAGAAUGGAGGUAAAGAGAAAUCAAGGGCGCUCUCUUUAGUCAAAUUGCCCGAAACCAAGUGAUCUAACCAUGGGCAGUUUUAAGGAACGAACCGGUGGUUGUAGCAAAAACCUCGGAUGACCUGUGGUUGGGGGGGAAAGACCAAUCGAACUUGGAGAUAGCUGGUUUUCUACGAAAACUAUUUAAGUAGUGCGCCCACAACUCCGGGGGGUUGGAGUUAAAAGACUUUUUAUGGUAAAGUUUGAUCGCUCGAAAGGGGGGGAGAAACUAUGGAUGUAAAAAUCGAAGUGGACAGACAGACAGUGGGUAAGAAAGUUCAUUGUCAAAAGGGGGAGCCCUAAUCAGAAGCUAAAGUCACAGAUCGAUUGGGGCUGUCUCCAAAUAGUCAAGUGUAAAAGGAGUGUGGGACUUAAACAAUGAGGAGGUAGGCUUGGGGCCAGCCACCUUUGAAAGAGGGCGUAGUAGUCCACUCGAGAAUUUGUUUAUCCCUAAAAUUAUGGUGGCUAAAAUUGAACUGAAACUCUGGGGGCGAAGUUUGCUUGGUAGUAGAACGGACUGUCGGAUGGUUUAGUGAGAGCUCAAGCAUCAGAAGAGAUAAUGUGAACAUGAGUAAAUAAUUGUUGGACCACUUCUCCGGGUCUCCAGGCCUUGGGCUUGGGUAAUACAGCCCUUAAGGUGGUGGCCGAGGGCCACUUCGAUGGGGGAUAAUAAUAAACGUACAAAGUGCCAGGAAAGAAUUAUUAAAAGUUGGUACUGUCGUGAACUAACACAAGUGGGAGAUAGUGAGGGGGAAAGGGUUUUUAAGGAACUCGGCAAGUUUUUUGGCUCCCAUUAGGGGGUUUUUAUAACACAAGGCCUCGACUGUUUACCAAAAACAUAGCUCUUUGCUAAUAUGAAAGUAGAAGUAUGGAGGGUGAGGCCUGCCCAAUGGUUGUAUCUAAAAGGGUUGGUGGGGCCGACUUUAUAAAGACAAUUGAAUGGCUGCGGUAACACUGACCGUGAUAAUGUAGCGCAAUCAAUAGUCAAUUAAUUGUUGGCCGGUAUGAAUGGUGUCACGAAGGUCUCACUGUCUUAAGAAAAUCCCCAGUGAAAUUGAAUUUGUAGUGAAGAUGCUACAUCCAAAUUGUUAGACGAGAAGACCCCAUGGAACUUUACUGGAGACUUAUGCGGCUUAUCGGACUAAGUUCGAUCAAAUAAAUAGUUUAGAUUGUGUGGUGUUAACUGCUUUAUCUAAGGCCUAACUCUUUGGAGUAGUCUUUAGAUUUAGGCUGGUAAAAUUCACUCUUUUAUUUUAAGAAAGCUAACUCUUCUCUCGAAUUGAGUUUGAUCGGUGAGAGUAUCGCACAAGACUCUUGUCUGACUAGGAGUGGUGGAUUUCGGGGUUAGAGAAAGGAGGUAAGUUAGACAGUUUGGUUGGGGCGACCGCCUUUUAAAAAGUAACGAAGGUGAGCUUAAGAUACAUAUUUUAUAGCUGUUGUCUGACUGCGAAGGGGGGGCCCUGAGCAGACACUAAAAAGAGCCCUGGGCGGGUAAUGGUGGGUUGUAGUGACCCGUUGAUUUAAGGUGAAAUAGUUAACGAUAAACAAAUAAAAGUUACCCUGGGGAUAACAGCGCAAUAACGUUAGAGAGUUUUAUUGACGACGAUGUUUGUGACCUCGAUGUUGAAUUGCGGCAUCCUGGGGUGCAGUCGCCCCCAAGGGUGGGUCUGUUCGUCCAUUAAAGCCGUACAUGAUUUGAGUUAAAAGCGUGGUAACACAGCUUGGUUUUUAUCUACAAUUUGAAGAAACAUUGAUAUAACUAUUUUCUAGUACGAAAGGAUCGAAAAAUUAGUGGUUCUCUUAUUUUUAUAAGUUACGAUCAAUCUAUUGGCCUCCAUAGUUUUUGAGGGCGCCUUCUUGUUAAUCGCUGAUCGCCUCUAAAGUGUGAAACUUAUAUUAAGUUGUUUGAAGUCCUGUAGAGGGGGGGGGGAAAUAAUGAU
rnacentral:rRNA from 1 species